GAUGAACGCUGGCGGCGUGCCUAAUACAUGCAAGUCGAGCGAACAGAUGAGGAGCUUGCUCCUCUGACGUUAGCGGCGGACGGGUGAGUAACACGUGGAUAACCUACCUAUAAGACUGGGAUAACUUCGGGAAACCGGAGCUAAUACCGGAUAAUAUAUUGAACCGCAUGGUUCAAUAGUGAAAGACGGUUUUGCUGUCACUUAUAGAUGGAUCCGCGCCGCAUUAGCUAGUUGGUAAGGUAACGGCUUACCAAGGCAACGAUGCGUAGCCGACCUGAGAGGGUGAUCGGCCACACUGGAACUGCGACACGGUCCAGACUCCUACGGGAGGCAGCAGUAGGGAAUCUUCCGCAAUGGGCGAAAGCCUGACGGAGCACCGCCGCGUGAGUGAUGAAGGUCUUCGGAUCGUAAAACUCUGUUAUUAGGGAAGAACAAAUGUGUAAGUAACUAUGCACGUCUUGACGGUACCUAAUCAGAAAGCCACGGCUAACUACGUG
rnacentral:rRNA from 1 species